AUUCCAGAAAUACCCCUACACACCUCAUGCCUUUUUGCGUGAUACGCUACCUGACCUUGCAUUGCAUGAGAAACCGACGCCACUUCUGAAACAACAUAAAAAAUUAAUCAAAUAAAAUAAAGAAAGAAAAUCGUUGCCGAGUCCGAGAAGAGAAGAAAGAAUCGAGAGAAAUGGUGUCGGAUUCGGACCUCGUGGCCCGGCUCCGUGAAAUACUCCGGAGUUCGGACUUAGACACGGCCACUGCCGGCAGUAUACGGCGGCAGUUAGAGGAGGAUUUCGGCGUUGAUUUAUCGGAGAAAAAAAAAUUUAUUAGAGAGCAAAUCGAUACUUUUCUUGAAACCCUAAAUAAAGGAGAUGGUCAGUCAGGGAAUGUGACAGAAAAUGAAGAUAACGAAAACGACACCGUUGAAGACGAUGAAAAUGAAAAUGAAAACGACGGUAUUAAAGAAGAAGAAGAAGAAGAAGAAGAUAGUGAGACAAAGGAAAGCAAGGGGUCAAACAAGAUAGAAAAGGUGAGGAAAAGAGGCGGUUUUGCUAAGUUAAGUAACUUAUCUCCGCAACUUCAAGCAGUUGUUGGAGUGCCUGAAUUGGCCAGAACUGAGGUUGUGAAGAGACUCUGGGCCUAUAUCCGUGAAAACAAUUUGCAGGAUCCAAAGAAUAGGAAAAAAAUAAAAUGUGAUGAGGCAUUGCGCGCUGUCUUUCAUGUAAAUUCAAUUGAUAUGUUUCAAAUGAAUAAAGCCCUGUCCAAGCAUAUCUGGCCAUUAACUGGAGAAAAUGAAAGUGUAAAGCAAAAAGAAAAAAGCAAAGACAUUAAUGAUUCUGGGUCUGAAGGAGACAAUGGAGGGGAACAAGAGGAUGACGAGGAAGAGGUAAAGAAAGAGAGUAAUGAAAGAAGCAAGAAAGGACGCAGGUCUGCUAAGGUGGAUGAGGAUGUUAAGAAAAGAGGAGGUGGUUUUACUAAAUUGUGCAGUCUUUCUCCUCAACUUCAAGAGUUUGUUGGAGUUCCAGAACUCGCCAGAACUGGGGUUGUGAAGAAGCUUUGGGCCUAUAUCCGGGAGAAGAACUUGCAAGAUCCAAAGAAUAAGCGAAACAUAAUAUGUGAUGAAUCAUUGCGUUCUAUUUUCGAUGUCGAUUCUAUUGACAUGUUUCAAAUGAAUAAAGCAUUGACUAAACACAUAUGGGCUGUCAGUGAGGAAGAUGAUAAUUGUUGUUACAUGCAUCUGGGGCUUGAAUAUCUGAUUGCCACUACUUAAAGAUGAAGAGGCAACUAUAUUACUGGGGAGCUAGGCAAAAAACAUGAUAAAAUGUGUAAUAUAGUUGUGUCAAACAUAUCUCAUACCCAUGCGUGUGCUCUCAUUCAGUGCAGUUCUCAACUUCCAGGCAGUGUGGCCUUUAUUGUCUUAGAAGUUGAUCCUAACUACCGACACUAUACAUCUCAGUGAGAGCAAGCUAGUUUAUCCUUCAGCUAGGUUUCAUAACUUUUAAAGGUUCUAUUAAACUCUCAUUUUAAAAUUGGUGGUCUCCUCGUGAAGUUCAUGGCGAAUUUCUUGCGGAGAGUGACCUUAAUUUAAUAUUUGGCAUUUUAUAAUUAAAAUUUUGUAGUUCUUGUUCCAUUCUCAAAGAGGAUCUCUUUUAUCAAUGGGUUAUUAAAAACCUUCAUGAUGUUUAAUUUUCGGCUUUUGAACUGAUUAGUGACUCACAUAUUUUAGAUGAAUGAUUAAAACAUUUUAGUGAUAUCCCUCUUUGCACAUGUUGCAUGGUUUUGAUUUAAUCAAUGUAGAUUUUCUCAUUUUCCAAACUGCUUUUCUUCCUUUUGUUUUAUGUAGAAGAUUUUGUGAAGUGGUCAUGAACAUAAUUGAUAAGGUUUUCAAGUUAUCAUAUAAAGAAUUGAUGGAUCAGCUACGAGGAAGAAGUUUUAAAGCAUGUUUGGAAUAGCUUUACAUGAGCCAGGAACUUCUUUAUCUCCAUAUUAGUUGCUGGCAAAAUGUCAAAUACUUCUUUUCUCUUACCUCUGGCCGACUCUAAUUUAAAUGUAGAUGGCCCCAACUAGUAUGCUCUUAUCAUAGAUAGCUUAAUGAAUUUAGGUGUUUUAUGAACUGAAUAGUUCCUUUUCUCAUUUACCUUUCCUCAUUAAAUUGUUGAUUUUAUCAAAUUGCAGUUGUCAAAAAUAUAGUGCAAAUUUCUUUUGUUAUGUUAACACUAAAUCACAACCCAAGUAUUCUCCUUUGUUUCAUAAAAAAAAUGGAGUUAUUUAUUAACUGAGAAUGUGAGAAUGUUUUAGUUUAAGUAAAAUGUUUUGUCCUGAUCUCAUAGCUCCAAGCAACUCUUCACCAAAGAAAAAGGGGAUUAAACAAGGAAGAGAAGAAGGUCCUGAUGAACCUAAACAGAAAGAAAAGCGGCAGAAGAAAG